rnacentral:lncRNA from 1 species
CGUUUCAUUUAAGCCCAUUUAUUUUAGUCAUUUUAUUUUGUCUCUCUAUCAGCACCCCCCUGGGUUGGAUCAGCAAUGCCCACUUGGGCUUGGCCUUUACCUAGGGCCCAACUGUUUUGUUUUUUUUAUUUCUUUAUCCUGUUUUAGCCCAUUUUUAGUUGUUUGCUUAAUUCAAAUAGAGUUUUUAUCCACCAAUUAAGUUCCUAUUAUAAUUAUUAUUAAUAUCU